UUGUCCACAAUGUAUUUUUAACACAGACUGUAAAAAAUAAUGGACAAAGCGUCUGUGACGUCACCCAUAGAUUUUCUGAAGAACGGUUAUGAAGCCGUUUAUGGGGGGUUAUGGGCGGCGCCAUCUUGGAAAACCUUGGGAAAUCCUAACCCCGCCCACCUCCUGAGCAAGCCGGUGAACCCGCCUCGUCGUCAGCCGAGCAGCCUCAGCUAAGCUAUCUGUAACGUUAGGCCUACAAGAUGGACUGGCACAGACUUGCUGCAACAUAAUUUGCUGUUCGCCAUGGGGAGGAGGCGGCAAGGAGGUCCAUGGGUUCUAACCUGGGACUAGAGGUCCAGGUGAAGUGGUUUGGCUGGGGUGUGGUGAUAUUGAACCCAUUGAGACUAUACAGUACAUUUCACUUUAUGUCUAUUGAUGGACUGUUACACCUACCCUUUACUUAUGCCAAACCCAUUUCUGUUCUUUAAAUAUCAGAAAGCAAACUUACUGUUGAUGGCACUGAACUUGCACUUGGAAAUGUUUAUGGAACUUUUCUGAACUGUGAAUUACAUUAAAACUCAUGCCAAACCAA